rnacentral:misc_RNA from 1 species
AACGCACAUUGCGCCCGCCAGUAUUCUGGCGGGCAUGCCUGUUCGAGCGUCAUUUCAACCAUCAAGCCCUGGGCUUGUGUUGGGGCCCUGCGGCCGUCCGCAGCCCCCUAAAUACAGUGGCGGGCUCGCUAUCACACCGAGUGCAGUAGAUUUUCUUCCCUCAGGGCGUGUGGCGGGUGCUAGCCGUGAAACCCCCUCUUCUUUUAUAGGUUGACCUCGGAUCAGGUAGGAAUACCCGCUGAACUUAA